rnacentral:rRNA from 1 species
UACGUAGGGGCAAGCGUUGUCCGGAUUUAUUGGGCGUAAAGAGCGUGUAGGCGGCCAGACAGGUCCGUUGUGAAAACUCGAGGCUCAACCUCGAGACGCCGAUGGAAACCGUCUGGCUAGAGUCCGGAAGAGGAGAGUGGAAUUCCUGGUGUAGCGGUGAAAUGCGCAGAUAUCAGGAAGAACACCCGUGGCGAAGGCGGCUCUCUGGGACGGUACUGACGCUGAGACGCGAAAGCGUGGGGAGCAAACAGG